UUCGAUAUAAUGAAAUUUACGCUCUUUAGUGUUGUUCAAAAAAUUCUAACCACAUUAUACAUUUGUAUUAAUAUAUUCUAAGCUCUCUUUCAUUGUACUUCAGUAUCGCCACUAAUUUUUAACAGUUAAUUUGUUAAAAAUUCAUAUAUUGCCUAAAUUAGUGGACUAACCACUAUGAAAUCUCUAUCUCUAUUGAAAUAGACACAAAAAAAAUUUCAAGCCUAUUUGGCCAUCAUUCUAUGUCAGUGUAAUAAAACAAAUAUCAUAUUUUUGAAUUUUUCUCAAAAAUCUGAAGAUUAACCCCUACGAAAUUGAGUUUUUCAGUAAGUGCUCUCUAUAUUGAAGUUUACACUCUUUAGUGUUGAUAAAAAAAUUUUAACCACAUUCUACAUUUUUUAUAAAUAUAUUCUAAACUCUCUUUCAUAUUACAUAGACUUCUCUUUAUUUAUUUUCAAGAAUUAAUUUAUUAAAAUUUUAUAUACUGCUUAUAUCAAUGGACAAACCACUAUAAAAUAUAUAUUCUCUAUAGAAAUGAGCACAAUAGAGAUAUCAAACCUCUUUAACCAUCAUACUAUGUUGCACUUAUGCAAUAAAACAAAACUUUCAUAUUUUUUGAAUUUUUCUCAAAAUCUAAAGGUUACCCCCU
rnacentral:lncRNA from 1 species